UUUAAGUGCAGCCAUGAGUUUCCAUGUCUAACUUUGAUCGUCUGUUUUAUUUAAAAUUUUUCAUGAUUAAUAUUUUUAUUGUUAUUAGAUGAUAAAACAUGAAUAGUACUUUAUAUGUGACUUAUAUUUUUAAGUUUUUUAAAAGAAUCAAAUAAGUUAGGUACGGAAAAUGAUGGUUGCACUUAAA
rfam:Oryza sativa Japonica Group DNA, chromosome 9, cultivar: Nipponbare, complete sequence.